UCCCUGAGACUUUAAGUCUCCUGAAGGAACGUUGAAGACGACGACGUUGAUAGGCCGGGUGUGUAAGCGCAGCGAUGCGUUGAGCUAACCGGUACUAAUGAACCGUGAGGCUUAACCUU
rnacentral:rRNA from 2 species